rnacentral:rRNA from 1 species
AUGGCGACCGGCGCACGGGUCGCGUAACGCGUAUGCAACCUACCUUUUACAGGGGCAUAACACUGAGAAAUUGGUACUAAUUCCCCAUAAUAUCUGAGACGGUCAUCGUUUUGGGUUGAAAACUCAGGUGGUAAAAGAUGGGCAUGCGUUGUAUUAGCUAGUUGGUGAGGUAACGGCUCACCAAGGCGACGAUACAUAGGGGGACUGAGAGGUUAACCCCCCCACAUUGGUACUGAGACACGGACCAAACUCCUACGGAAGGCAGCAG